rnacentral:rRNA from 1 species
CCCGCUGAACUUAAGCAUAUCAGUAAGCGGAGGAAAAAGAAAUUAACAAAGAUUGCCCUAGUAGCGGCGAGUGAACAGGCAAGAGCUCAAACUUAAAAUCUGAAGCAUACAGUUUCAGAAUUGUAGUCUAAAGAUGAUGGCAGAAGGCAUAGAGUAUGCAUAAGUUCCUUGAAACAGGAUGUCAUAGAGGGUGAUAACCCCGUGUUUGGCAAUACUCCAGCCGUAUGUCUGAGUCGAAGAGUCGGGUUGUUUGGGAUUGCAGCCCUAAAUGGGAGAUAUACUUCUUCUAAGGCUAAAUAUUUAUGGGAAACCGAUAGCGAACAAGUACUGUGAAGGAAAGAUGAAAAGAACUUUGAAAAGAGAGUUAAAAGACUUGAAAUCGUUGAGAAGUAAGCGCUAGAAAAGUAUUAAGUGGCUCGGACGUAAGGCCGGAGAGUAUUAGUCUGGGCGCUGUGGAGGACGUUAAGGCCUUGCAGUGUUCAUGAUCAUGGUGCUCUCGCUGUUUUCCGACUCACUGGGCAAGAUCAGAUCAGCUAAUACCGGAGAUACUGAGGUAGCAGUCCCUAGCAAUAGAAGCUACUUCUGAGCACGGUAUACUGUUCUGAGGGGCUACGGCGAUCUUGCCAAAAUGAUUUCUAUCGACCCGUCUUGAAACACGG